rnacentral:lncRNA from 1 species
GUUGCAGCAAAAGCUGCCUAAGAAUGUCAAACUGUCUGUGAAGAUGUUAAAUCCAGGUAAAUGCACAAUUCAUUUUGACAAGCAUAUUUAUUUUCUCAUUUCCUUGGCAAUUCAUUUUUAUUCAUGAAAAUCAACGCCGUCAGUCAACACAAACAUUUGAAGUCCUGGUACUCGGGAGCCUCUAGCCGGUGCGAAUAUACUGGACAUUGUCGGUCUGGACCAGCACAGUUCCAGCUGCAAAAGGAUGUGCGUAUCGUAGGUAAAUUUAUUUAAAUGAGCUUUAUUCAAGAUUAGUUCUGGCAUUCUCCCUACUUACGCUUGGGAACGGGCUCGGCAUUGGCCAGGGCGGCGAGCAUGGCCAGGAGCAGGGCAGCAGCUUGGAAGAACUUCAUGUUGAUUUGGUUGGUUUUGGUUUUCGGUACGACUGUGAUACUGAUGCCCCACUGCCGACUGACACGAUCUUUUAUAGCUCGACGGGCACCGGACUGCAGAGUACUGUUCUCGUACUGGGAAAUUCCCUCCACCCAGAUCGGGGGAUUGCACAGGUUAAAAGAGCUUCUUAAUCUCGUUAACCGUCAAUCAGAGCUUCGCCUUUUGUUUUAUGUGCAAUGUGAUUCGUGUUAAUCGCGAACCGGUCUGGGUUUUCUACGCGUUCUAUUGAUGCUGAUUAUAAUCUGAAAAUGUACAUUUUUACAUAUCUACAUAUGUACAUAUAUGUACAUGCAUAUCAAUAGAGAAUACUGCAAGUCUGAACGAGAUUUGUUUACAAUCACGUUUCGUAAGUAUUAUCUUAAAUAGACACGAUUUGUAGCACUGCAUAUUAAGUUUUAUAGCUGCUCUUUUUCUCUGGAAAACCUAGUAAAAGUCAUUCAGAGGAAAUAUGCAAAUUAGAAAUGCUUUCGAAGUCAACUAAACACAAUUAAAUAGAGUAGCAGAUCGAUUUACCUUUUUAAUAGUUCAGAUAAUCGAACUAAAUAGGUUUCAUGUCUGUUUUAUUAAAGUAAAUACAAUGUGAGCUACAGCACUGCAUGAAUCCAAAUAUCCAGUGGGUUUCGGGCUUUAAAGCUGCCAAAAAAUAAUUCUUAUUGAGGAAUGAAAUCAGAUGGAUUGCAUUAAUUGGUUUGGUUUUCCUCCACUUAUUAUUUGCAAUCACAUUAUCAGUGCCUUAGAGCACCCGAUCGUGACCCUGGGGUAUUUUACAGUAUUGGAAUUUCCGAAGCUCAAUCAAUGCGCAGUCUCGUGGGUCUGGCGGGUAUAUAAGCGUCGGCCCUCAGUGUCGGAUAAUCAUUGUAGAAACAGAUUUUACAGCUUAAUCAUGAACUGCCUGAAGAUCUGCGGCUUUGUGUUUGCUCUCAUUGCGGCCCUUUCGACUGCGGAGGCUGGUAAGUGAUCGGGAACAAAUUUUCUAGUUGGAAUUGAUUGCUUAUCAGUGCACCUAUCGUCCAAUUAGCUACCCAAGUGCUGAAUGCUGGCGGCCAUACCCUCAUCCAAACGGACCGGACUCAGUACAUCCGCAGAAACUAAAUGGACCUUGGAAAUAAAACAAAUAAAUAGUGCUUAAAACAAUUUCUCCCCCUGUUUUUGAAUUCUCAAAAUUAGUCUUUAGACGAUGGCACGGCCU